UACGUAGGGCGCAAGCGUUGUCCGGAAUUAUUGGGCGUAAAGAGCUCGUAGGCGGUUUGUCGCGUCUGCUGUGAAAACCUCGGGCUCAACCUGGGGCUUGCAGUGGGUACGGGCAGACUAGAGUGCGGUAGGGGUGACUGGAAUUCCUGGUGUAGCGGUGGAAUGCGCAGAUAUCAGGAGGAACACCGGUGGCGAAGGCGGGUCUCUGGGCAGUAACUGACGCUGAGGAGCGAAAGCGUGGGGAGCGAACAGG
rnacentral:rRNA from 1 species